CUGAGGAUUCGCUGAGACAGGAUUGCCUUUUCAGCUGCAUGGAGGACCAGGUUAUGUGGAAGUGUGAUCUUCCUCCCCCACCCUCCUGAUUGCUGGGAUUCCAGGCGUUCAACCCCAUACCUGGCUCCUAAAGCUUUCAAUACAUGUUUGGGGUGGCCUGCACUACAUACCUGAAACUUCGUCUCAACAAACUCACUCCCGCCAUGGAUCCCAGAAGGGUCACAGUCUAACCUUGUAUUAACCAUAUCCAGUAUGGGACACACCAGUAAAUAUGUCCUGGUCUUAUCUAUUGCAUCUUUGACUUGGACAUGGACAAAGAUGACUGGACUCUAGUGGCAAUGAAUACCAGCGCAGAGCCAGCGACCUCCCUCAUCUGGUAUUCAGAGGAACCGGAAGUGGGUUGAUCUCCCUGCUUUGAAGAACCAGACAGUGCUGCAGAUGCGCUCUAAAAAUUGACCCUGUUAUUUACUGCGGAGCAAACGUCAGCUGAGCAGUAAGCUGUUCAUCCACACUUCUACACUCUCAUCUUCAGUGCUGUAGGACAAGAGUAACCGUCUUCGCCAUUUGAGAGAUUCCUUCAUUCAAUAGGGCUUUGAUGACUACAAUAAUCAGUGAUUAUAUGAAUUAUUAGCUGACUGAAUCAGGCCAAAGGGCCAGAGACCUCAGUGGAGAAUGCUGGGCAAACGUGAGCAGGGCCCUGAGUUCAAUGCUCAUGACUGUGGAAGCACACACCUUAACAUGUGACAGGGAAAGCCUGCUGUGACCCGCAGCUUGAAGGAGAACAGCUGGGGUCUAAGCUAACCCUUGGCUAAUCCCAUCUCCUGCUUGAAUCAGCACACAGACUAGCAUGCAGGAGACUGUGAGAAAGGGGAGAGGAAAUGAAAAGUAGACUCUUGAGUUAAAAAAAAACCAAAGAAAAAGUUGGUUAAAGUCUUGGUUAAUAUAGCAAAAAACAAUUGAUUUUUUUUUCCAAAACAGCAAUGGGGUGGUCACCGGAGCCUGUGGGCUGCAGAGCAAGUGUCAGGUGAGCGCCGUGCUCGUAGGCGAGCACCAUGCAAGUGAGUACACUCGCUUAGCUCCGUUUUCAGUGAGUGCAACAACUCAAGGCAAGUCUGUGCAUAAGCUGAGGUCAGGUCAGGGGUCUGACGCUGUCCUUGGCGACACAUCUGGUCGCACCGAUUUUUAUAACAAAGGAUUGCAGAAAUUCAGCUUUAAUUGAAAAAGGAAGAAGGAAAAAAAAUGAGGUCCAUUUAAAGCGCCUCUGGAAAUUGCUACAUGAUUGUCAGACUGAGUCCUGAGAGAGGCCGUGAGAACGGCACGGCCGUGAUGCGGGAACGGAAGUAUGGAGGCCUGUGGUGGUUGCUCUACUUCUCAGGUUUCACGUAUAUAAAAUGUCAAAGGACUUGUUCUUUCUCACUGUUGAGAAUGCUGUUUAAUUUUUUCUACCUCAUAAACAUAGAGUCAAAUAAGCAAUGUCUUGUAUUUGGAAGGAAAAAUGAAGGACUCUGAGGUCCAGAUGUGCUGCGUUCCCACAUAGGACCAGCAGGGAAAGACAAACGACCCCGCUGCUCUCCCACUCUUGCUCUGUGAGAGAAAAACCUGGGAGUCAACACUUAGACUCAGCACAGCCCACCCCACAGCCAUGGCUUCCUUUCCUCUGGCUCCCUGCACUGCUACAUCUUUUAGGUCCUCUCCGAGACUGCUCUCUCUGUGUGGGGCCGUGGCUAACGCUUUCCUGCUCCAGGUUCCUAGGCUGUCUGCUGGGUUUCCGGAGUCUACUCAAGUAGAGUGUGUCCUCCCGCCCCCAGACCCUGCAGAGAACAGAGCGGGGUGGAGGGCAAUUCCCUUGCGUAAUUGGCUCAAGAGAUGAAAAUCUUGCACAGGUCUCCCUUAGCCACUAAUCUAUCCAGCUGACUGCAAGCCUAAUUGGCAGCUUGUUGAGUAAUUUGGCUCCUAAAGUGUUGUAUUGAUGUUGGAUCAACAUCCAGUGGGAAGGGAGGUGACAGGCUGCUUCCCAUAUGGCAGCAAGCUUGGGCCUGUCCUGUCCCUGCCCUGAAUCCAGAGGGUGGUUACAAGUUCUCCCUUCUUCUUUACAGUCCUUUUCCUAGCCAUCAGAGGGUCAGGGCGAUUACUAGCUAUGUUAUCAAAACUGUGAGCAGUAAUUAUGUUUUCAGUACCUACUUUAGGGACAAGAAGUGAGAAUAUGCUAAGUGUUACUACUGUUAGUCAAAUGCGUCAAUUAUUUGACCUGUAAUAUUACACAUACAUUUCAUGGAAAUAAAAGUGUAAAAAUCAA